AGAAGAAUGAACACCUGUCUAAAGAAAGACAAGGCAAGUUAGGCUUGGUUCUGAGCACCUGGGGUCUCAGAACUCAGGAUGAACUGGAGGCCAGACAAGGCUACAUAGAGCCCACGGAGACCAGAAGAUGUCUGGGACUGGAGGAAUUGGGGGUCUGCACCUAGUGACCAGAGAGGCCAGAAGCCUAACAAAUUAUCUGGAAUUGGAGUUAUAAGCCACUGUGAGUUGUUAUGCGGGUAUUGAGAAUCGAACCUGGGUGCUUCGGAAGAGCAGCCAGUGCUCUUCUUAACUAGCUGAACCACCUCUCCAGCCCCAGAACGUUCUCCUUUGCUAAUUGAUGAUUGAUGUCGCAGGGCCCAGCCCACUGUGGGUGGUACCAUCCCUAGGCAGGUGGUCCUGGCCUGGAUUAGAAAUCUAGAUAAACCUGAGCCUGCAAGCGGCAUUCCUCCCGCGGCUCUACUUCCAAGCUCCGCGUUUGAGUUUCUGCCCUAACUUUCCUGGAAGAAGGAUUGUGCCCUGGAAGUGUAAGAUGAAAUAAACCCUUUCCUCCCCUUA